UACGUAGGGGGCAAGCGUUGUCCGGAUUUAUUGGGCGUAAAGAGCGUGUAGGCGGCCUGACAAGUCCGCUGUGAAAACUCGAGGCUUAACCUCGAGACGUCGGUGGAAACUGCCUGGCUAGAGUCCGGAAGAGGAGAGUGGAAUUCCUGGUGUAGCGGUGAAAUGCGCAGAUAUCAGGAAGAACACCCGUGGCUAAGGCGGCUCUCUAGUACGGUACUGACGCUGAGACGCGAAAGCGUGGGGAGCGAACAGG
rnacentral:rRNA from 1 species